rnacentral:rRNA from 1 species
UACGGAGGGUGCAAGCGUUAUCCGGAUUCACUGGGUUUAAAGGGUGCGUAGGAGGGCAGGUAAGUCAGUGGUGAAAUCGUCCGGCUUAACUCGGAACUGCCGUUGAUACUAUCUGUCUUGAAUAUUGUGGAGGUGAGCGGAAUAUGUCAUGUAGCGGUGAAAUGCUUAGAUAUGACAUAGAACACCAAUUGCGAAGGCAGCUCGCUACACAUAUAUUGACUCUGAGGCACGAAAGCGUGGGGAUCAAACAGG